rnacentral:rRNA from 1 species
AUGGACCAAUCCAUCCCUUUUUCCCGUGCAUAUGCAUCGGACUCAGAUGACGAUGGUCCCGAUGAAGAAGUUGAUGAGGAGGGGUUCACGCCGAAGGAGGCCCAAGAAUUCAAGAAGGUAUUCGGGAAGGACCACAAGACACCAUUGUUCAAGGAUCUUAGUCUCGCGGAUGAAGCCGUUGUGGAUGGUGGCAAAUGCAUAUCUCUUGGAGCUAGGCCAAGUUCUCAC